GAUAGCUUUGCAUGGUACUUUACUGACAAGAUUGAACAGCAAAGGAAAGAAUUUUCCCCAGUCUGCCUUUCUCUUUCUCAACCACAUGUAGAUCAUGCCGUUCCUACCCUUCAGACUUUCUCCCCGGCUACUGAACAAGUGGUGGCUGCACUUUUAUUUUCCUCUCCCCCCACCACUUGCCCACUUGAUCCUGUCCCAUCUCACCUUAUCAGAUCUCUGUGACUUCCUUAAACAUGCCAC